GACCUGGCUGGGCGGUCCGCCUCACGGCGAGUACUGUCUGGCCGGGCCUUACCUCUUGGUGAACCGGCGUGCCCUUUAUUGGCGUGCGUCGGGGAACCAGGACUUUUACCUUGAGAAAAUUAGAGUGUUCAAAGCAGGCCUAUGCCCGAAUACAUUAGCAUGGAAUAAUAGAAUAGGACGUGUGGUUCUAUUUUGUUGGUUUCUAGAACUGCCGUA
rnacentral:rRNA from 1 species